rnacentral:rRNA from 1 species
UACGGAGGGGGCUAGCGUUGUUCGGAAUUACUGGGCGUGAAGCGCACGUAGGCGGACAGUUAAGUCGGGGGUGAAAUCCCGGGGCUCAACCCCGGAACUGCCUUCGAUACUGGCUGUCUGGAGGUCGAGAGAGGUGAGUGGAAUUCCGAGUGUAGAGGUGAAAUUCGUAGAUAUUCGGAGGAACACCAGUGGCGAAGGCGGCUCACUGGCUCGAUACUGACGCUGCGGUGCGAAAGCGUGGGGAGCAAACAGU